GACGGAGGCUGCAAGUGUUAUCCGGAAUCACUGGGCGUAAAGCGUCUGUAGGUGGUUUAAUAAGUCAACUGUUAAAUCUUGAGGCUCAACCUCAAAAUCGCAGUCGAAACUAUUAGGCUAGAGUAUAGUAGGGGUAAAGGGAAUUUCCAGUGGAGCGGUGAAAUGCGUAGAGAUUGGAAAGAACACCGAUGGCGAAGGCACUUUACUGGGCUAUUACUAACACUCAGAGACGAAAGCUAGGGUAGCAAAUGGG
rnacentral:rRNA from 1 species